rfam:Rattus norvegicus chromosome 7, whole genome shotgun sequence.
GGGGAUUUGGCUCAGUGGUAGAGCGCUUGCCUAGGAAGCGCAAGGCCCUGGGUUCGGUCCCCAGCCCCG